AUGUUGCAGCAGGACAGUAAUGAUGACACUGAAGGUGUUUCACCCUUCAAUGCAGAAGAGAAGACAACUAAUAGGGGAUUAAAAACAAUAGACCAAAAAAAAAUUAGACACCCAAUAGCGUAAUUUUUCUGUUUACUCUUUUGAGUGCAUGCAGUUAUAAUCCAUCUUCUCUGUGAAUUGCUCAGCAGCAGCUAUACUGCGUGGAUGGUGACAGUUCUCUUGUUGCCAUGUGAUUUGGGGGCAGUGAAGACUGUCACAGGUAGACUGAUGGUGGACCUGCAUUGGUGGAAUCAUACUGAUGAAGAUGAGAAGAACCACUGGGUGUCCAGGAAGAGCCACUGGGAGUCCAGGAAGGCAUCCCCUCAAGAUAACAAAACUGUCUCAGAGGCUGAAUCAAGGAUCUUUUGGUUGGGAUUUAUUGCCUGUUCAGUGCUGUGGGUGGUAAUUGCCUUUAGUGCCCUCUUCUUUUUUGGAGUAAAGUGAUUGGCAGUGGUUAUCAUGGGUGUGGCGCUGCAAGAUGCCAACCUAUAUGGUUACAUCAGGUAUAAAGUUGGCAGUAGAAGGAAUUUAACCAGCAUGGCUAUCUUGUAGCCUGGAAAGCAGUUUUUAAGACAAAACAGUAAAGAUAAUCUGACUUCC
rnacentral:lncRNA from 1 species